AGAGUUUGAUUCUGGCUCAGAACGAACGCUGGCGGCAGGCCUAACACAUGCAAGUCGAACGCACCGCAAGGUGAGUGGCAGACGGGUGAGUAACACGUGGGAACCUUCCCUAUAGUACGGAAUAGCCCAGGGAAACCUGGAGUAAUACCGUAUACGCCCGAGAGGGGAAAGAAUUUUCGCUAUAGGAUGGGCCCGCGUAGGAUUAGCUAGUUGGUGAGGUAAUGGCUCACCAAGGCGACGAUCCUUAGCUGGUUUGAGAGAACGACCAGCCACACUGGGACUGAGACACGGCCCAGACUCCUACGGGAGGCAGCAGUGGGGAAUAUUGGACAAUGGGCGAAAGCCUGAUCCAGCCAUGCCGCGUGAGUGAUGAAGGCCUUAGGGUUGUAAAGCUCUUUUGCCGGGGACGAUAAUGACGGUACCCGGAGAAUAAGUC
rnacentral:rRNA from 1 species